AAGCUUUGCACACAUCAUAAUCCAGUGAGUAGUUUGCAGCAUUUCAUAUUGCAUUUUGCACCUAAGGUUGAAUGCAUCUUUGCUGUGCUAUUUUUCCCUUUCUCCAUCAUCAUUUCCAACUGAGUUUGACAAGCCAUCAUCAAAUAGUUAGAAAAACCAUUACCAAAUAAUUAGAAAAACCAAACCCCCCCAAAUUGAUUACGGCUCUGUUCAUUCUCAAUCAUCAAAUCCUCUGCGUCAAAUGAAAUCAGUAGCUAAAUGAAGAUUCAAUACAUGUGUUUCAUCUGCUUAAAUCAUAAAAGUGUACAAGGGAUAUUAUCUUCGCCCAUUUUCCCCCAUAAACCAUUUUUUUUCCUUAUCCCGGUUCCUCCAUCCCGCUGUGAGCACGAAAUUGCAAAACCUACCUUUUGCUUUUGUAUGUGUCGCCGGAAUCUGUGAGGAGGAGUCGCAGGCUACGGCGGAGAGAAUUAAGGCGGCGUUGAGAGAGGCUUACAGGAACAAGAAGCACCUCCCUUUGGACCUACGCCCCCAAGAAGACCAGAGUUAUCAAGACGUUUGACAAGCAUCAGGUUUCAUUGAAGACAGAGCAGUAGAGGAGAGAAGGAAAGAGCUCCGCGCCGUGGUCGGCGUUGAUCUUGGCCGUGAUUCGCGGCGGUCGGUUGGGAGAAGGAGGCGUGAGUGCGCCGGCGGCGGCUGGUCUCGUUGGGAUCAAGAAAAACGCGUCCCAAAGAGUGUUUCUUCGUCCCGUGCACGAAAGGAGAGAGAGAGGGCGAUGACGCCGCGGCCGGCGGUGGCUCCGGUGGGGCGUGGUGUCGUCGACGACGCCGAGACUGAUUGGCAAACAAGAGUUUGGGUUGAAACCAAUGAAUUGCCUAGGACACUGUCUGAUGUUUAAACACAGGGUUCGAUCAUAUAGAGAACUUCCUCUCCGUUUUGCUGACUUUGGAGUUUUGCAUCGGAAUGAGGCUAGUGGUGCCCUGAGUGGAUUAACACGUGUUCGGAGAUUUCAACAGGAUGAUGCUCAUAUUUUCUUCAGGUAGUCCCAGAUAAAGGAUGAAGUGAGGAAUGCAUUGAGUUUCAUCAAUUAUGUUUAUAGCAUAUUUGGUUUCACAUAUGAGCUGAAGCUUUCAACGAUAACUAUUUCACGUGUCGGAUACCUCAUUAGAGACAAGAGAAAUACCUAGGAGAUAUUGCAACCUGGGAUAAAGCUGAAAGUUCUCUUAAAGAAGCUUUAGAUGAUUUUGGCAAGCCUUGACAGAUGAAGUUUCUGUUAACAACCUCAAGAUCCCCUUGUCCUUUUCUCUACUACAGGCCCAUUCCUCCAGUCUGCCCUUGAUUCCUCUCUGCAUCAUAUCAUCUAAUUUGCUUAUGUUGGCAGUUUCAUUCUGUGUAUGACAACACCGAUUUCUUCUCUUCAUCUUU